GCUGUCCCUCUUUCUGCAUGCCUUACACAUGCAAGUCGAACGGUAACAGGUUAAGCUGACGAGUGGCGAACGGGUGAGUAAUGUAUCGGAACGUGCCCAGUCGUGGGGGAUAACUGCUCGAAAGAGCAGCUAAUACCGCAUACGACCUGAGGGUGAAAGCGGGGGAUCGCAAGACCUCGCGCGAUUGGAGCGGCCGAUAUCAGAUUAGGUAGUUGGUGAGGUAAAGGCUCACCAAGCCGACGAUCUGUAGCUGGUCUGAGAGGACGACCAGCCACACUGGGACUGAGACACGGCCCAGACUCCUACGGGAGGCAGCAGUGGGGAAUUUUGGACAAUGGGCGCAAGCCUGAUCCAGCCAUGCCGCGUGCGGGAAGAAGGCCUUCGGGUUGUAAACCGCUUUUGUCAGGGAAGAAAAGGUUCUGGCUAAUACCUGGGACUCAUGACGGUACCUGAAGAAUAAGCACCGGCUAACUACGUG
rnacentral:rRNA from 1 species